GACGAACGCUGGCGGCGUGCUUAACACAUGCAAGUCGAACGCUGAAGCUUGGUGCUUGCACUGGGUGGAUGAGUGGCGGACGGGUGAGUAAUACGUGAGUAACCUGCCCUUGACUCUGGGAUAAGCCUGGGAAACUGGGUCUAAUACUGGAUACGACAUGUCACCGCAUGGUGGUGUGUGGAAAGGGUUUUACUGGUUUUGGAUGGGCUCGCGGCCUAUCAGCUUGUUGGUGGGGUAAUGGCUCACCAAGGCGACGACGGGUAGCCGGCCCGAGAGGGUGACCGGCCACACUGGGACUGAGACACGGCGCAGACUCCUACGGGAGGCAGCAGUGGGGAAUAUUGCACAAUGGGCGGAAGCCUGAUGCAGCGACGCCGCGUGAGGGAUGACGGCCUUCGGGUUGUAAACCUCUUUCAGCACGGAAGAAGCGAAAGUGACGGUACGUGCAGAAGAAGCGCCGGCUAACUACGUG
rnacentral:rRNA from 1 species